rnacentral:rRNA from 14 species
UAGCGUUGUUCGGAAUUACUGGGUGUAAAGCGCUUAGGCGGCGAUUUAAGUCAGAGGUGAAAGCCCGGGGCUCAACCCCGGAACUGCCUUUGAGACUGGAUUGCUUGAAUCCUGGAGAGGUGAGUGGAAUUCCGAGUGUAGAGGUGAAAUUCGUAGAUAUUCGGUGGAACACCAGUGGCGAAGGCGGCUAACUGGACUGGUACUGACGCUGAGGUGCGAAAGUGUGGGGAGCAAACAGGAUUAGAU